AUACGUAGGGUGCAAGCGUUAAUCGGAAUUACUGGGCGUAAAGCGUGCGCAGGCGGUUUUGUAAGACAGUGGUGAAAUCCCCGGGCUCAACCUGGGAACUGCCAUUGUGACUGGAAGGCUGGAGUGCGGCAGAGGGGGAUGGAAUUCCGCGUGUAGCAGGGAAAUGCGUAGAUAUGCGGAGGAACACCGAUGGCGAAGGCAAUCCCCUGGGCCUGCACUGACGCUCAUGCACGAAAGCGUGGGGAGCAAACGGGAUUAGAUACCCUGGUAGUCCACGCCCUAAACGAUGUCAACUGGUUGUUGGGGAUUUAUUUUCUCAGUAACGAAGCUAACGCGUGAAGUUGACCGCCUGGGGAGUACGGCCGCAAGGUUAAAACUCAAAUGAAUUGACGGGG
rnacentral:rRNA from 1 species